UUGAACGCUGGCGGCAGGCCUAACACAUGCAAGUCGAGCGGAUGAAGGGAGCUUGCUCCUGGAUUCAGCGGCGGACGGGUGAGUAAUGCCUAGGAAUCUGCCUGGUAGUGGGGGAUAACGUCCGGAAACGGGCGCUAAUACCGCAUACGUCCUGAGGGAGAAAGUGGGGGAUCUUCGGACCUCACACUAUCAGAUGAGCCUAGGUCGGAUUAGCUAGUUGGUGGGGUAAAGGCCUACCAAGGCGACGAUCCGUAACUGGUCUGAGAGGAUGAUCAGUCACACUGGAACUGAGACACGGUCCAGACUCCUACGGGAGGCAGCAGUGGGGAAUAUUGGACAAUGGGCGAAAGCCUGAUCCAGCCAUGCCGCGUGUGUGAAGAAGGUCUUCGGAUUGUAAAGCACUUUAAGUUGGGAGGAAGGGCAGUAAGUUAAUACCUUGCUGUUUUGACGUUACCAACAGAAUAAGCACCGGCUAACUUCGUG
rnacentral:rRNA from 1 species